UGCCCAUGAUGACAUAUUCGACAUCGGAAUUUGCAUGGCUCAGACUGCCUGAGGUGGACCCUGUGAUCAGACUCAGAGUCGGCAAUUCCUGCUUCUUCCGUCGUAAUCUUGGAGGCUGCCCUUGCAGCAUAGGCAGUGGCCGUAAGGCCGGCGGAACACGACCAGCCAGAGGCAAGACUGCUGUCUGUCGUUAAGCCCCAGACUGACAACUUAGGCCAUGGCUUACAGAACACAAACCUCAAAAUGAAGCACAGUGGAUUGUCGACGCAGGAUCCACUUAGGUCUGGGUUGCCAUUGACGACGUCUUUAGUAAUCUGACAGCAU